UACGUAGGUGGCAAGCGUUGUCCGGAUUUACUGGGCGUAAAGAGCGCGCAGGCGGUCGUUCAAGUCGCGUGUGAAAGCCCCCCGGCUCAACUGGGGAGGGUCACGCGAUACUGAUCGACUCGAAGGCAGGAGAGGGUAGUGGAAUUCCCGGUGUAGUGGUGAAAUGCGUAGAUAUCGGGAGGAACACCAGUGGCGAAGGCGACUACCUGGCCUGUUUUCUUUUGACGCUGAGGCGCGAAAAGCUAGGGGAGCAAACGGG
rnacentral:rRNA from 1 species